GGUUACUAGGUUAAGAGGACUUGAAGCCGUUUAAAAAUGGUUGUUGUGUUUUGACUAACAUGUCUUAUGUAGGAUCGUCUGCAUGUCAAAGUCGCGUGGAAAAUCAGGUUAGUCGUUAAUCUCGUGUUAAAUGGUUUUGUAGGUGGAAGUUAUAAGGGGAGGCGUGCUUGUAAACCCUUUGUUUUGCAGGUGGUGUAAAGAUGAAUGAAUGUAUGUGGGUUUAUAUUGAAGUGCUGGAUUUUUAAAUUUAAAUGCAUGUUUACCAGCUUUAGCACGACACCGCACACACAACCGCGGUCUAAAACCCCAAUCGCCCAAUUUAGGACCUUAGGAGGGUUUAUGGGUGGAAUCUGCGAGUGGAUGCUCGUGGUAAUCCAUUACUUACAUAAACCUGCUCAUCCCAACCGAUAAAGAUAGCACUGACCGACGAUAGUAGCGGUGGGUAAACUAUUUUUAUCCUUUGGGAUG
rnacentral:lncRNA from 1 species